rnacentral:rRNA from 1 species
AUAUUGGACAAUGGGGGCAACCCUGAUCCAGCCAUGCCGCGUGUGUGAAGAAGGUCUUCGGAUUGUACAGCACUUUAAGUUGGGAGGAAGGGCUUUAGGUUAAUACCCUGAAGUUUUGACGUUACCAACAGAAUAAGCACCUGCUCACUCUGUGCCAGCAGCCGCGGUACGACAGAGGGUGCAAGCGUUACUCGGAAUUACUGGGCGUAAAGCGCGCGUAGGUGGUACAAUAAGAAGGGUGUGAAAGACCCUGGCUUAACCUGGGAACUGCUUUCGUAACUGCUGAGCUAGAGUACGGUAGAGGGUAGUGGAAUUUCCUGUGUAGCGGUGAAAUGCGUAGAUAUAGGAAGGAACACCAGUGGCGAAGGCGACUACCUGGACUGAUACUGACACUGAGGUGCGAAAGCGUGGGGAGCAAAC